AGGACGAACGCUGGCGGCGUGCUUAACACAUGCAAGUCGAGCGGUAAGGCCCUUUCGGGGGUACACGAGCGGCGAACGGGUGAGUAACACGUGGGCGACCUACCCUCAGCUCUGGGAUAAGCCUGGGAAACUGGGUCUAAUACCGGAUAUGACCUUUCCUCGCAUGGGGUUUGGUGGAAAGUUUUUUCGGCUGGGGGAUGGGCCCGCGGCCUAUCAGCUUGUUGGUGGGGUGAUGGCCUACCAAGGCGACGACGGGU
rnacentral:rRNA from 1 species